GAAAUGCGAUAAGUAAUGUGAAUUGCAGAAUUCAGUGAAUCAUCGAAUCUUUGAACGCACCUUGCGCUCCUUGGUAUUCCUUGGAGCAUGCCUGUUUGAGUAUCAUGAAAUCUUCAAAGUAAAUCUUUUGUUAACUCAAUUGGUUUCUACUUUGGUAUUGGAGGUCUUUGCAGCUUCACACCUGCUCCUCUUUGUUCAUUAGCUGGAUCUCAGUGUUAUGCUUGGUUCCACUCGGCGUGAUAAGUUAUCUAUCGCCGAGGACACCGUAAAAGGUGGCCAAGGUAAAUGCAGAUGAACCGCUUCUAAUAGUCCAUUGACUUGGACAAUACUUUUAUGAUCUGAUCUCAAAUCAGGUAGGACUACCCGCUGAACUUAAGC
rnacentral:misc_RNA from 1 species